CGCCCUUCGUAACAAGGUAGCUGUAGGUGAACCUGCGGAAGGAUCAUUAC
rnacentral:rRNA from 28 species